CUUGGUAAGUCUACCACCUCAUCAUGGCCAGGUGGCUGCACUGGUGCUUUCCCAGUAAGGAGUUCAAGAAGCAGAACACCAAAGCUGUAAACAUCGGAUUUCUGAGUACAUUUCUUGGUCUCUAUCACCUCGGGUGCUCUAUAUCCUGCACUCCUUGAUGGGAUAGUAGGAAAACCCAUUAGAGGUGUAAGACCAACAUCUGAG
rnacentral:misc_RNA from 1 species